UACCAGCACCCCGAGUGGUCGGGACGUUUAUUGGGCCUAAAGCAUCCGUAGCCGGUUCUACAAGUCUUCCGUUAAAUCCACCUGCUUAACAGAUGGGCUGCGGAGGAUACUACAGAGCUAGGAGGCAGGAGAGGCAAGCGGUACUCAGUGGGUAGGGGUAAAAUCCGUUGAUCCAUUGAAGACCACCAGUGGCGAAGGCGGCUUGCCAGAAUGCGCUCGACGGUGAGGGAUGAAAGCUGGGGGAGCAAACCGG
rnacentral:rRNA from 1 species